rnacentral:rRNA from 1 species
GACGAACGCUGGCGGCGUGCUUAACACAUGCAAGUCGAGCGGUAAGGCCCUUUCGGGGGUACACGAGCGGCGAAUGGGUGAGUAACACGUGGGUGACCUGCCCUCAGCUCUGGGAUAAGCCUGGGAAACCGGGUCUAAUACUGGAUAUGACUCCAUGACGCAUGUUGUGGGGUGGAAAGCCUUGUGCGGCUGAGGAUGGGCCCGCGGCCUAUCAGCUUGUUGGUGGGGNGAUGGCCUACCAAGGCGACGACGGGUAGCCGGCCUGAGAGGGCGACCGGCCACACUGGGACUGAGACACGGCCCAGACUCCUACGGGAGGCAGCAGUGGGGAAUCUUGCGCAAUGGGCGAAAGCCUGACGCAGCGACGCCGCGUGAGGGAUGACGGCCU